rnacentral:lncRNA from 1 species
GAACGAGGGUUAUUAAGACAGACCUGUUAUUUAAGUUUUCUCUCGUGCCUUCUCUUCAAUUUCAUGCGAUCUCUUCUUUUCUUUUCAUCUGAAUUUAAUAUGUAUAGUACCUUUAAAAUAUAUCUUAAUAUGUAGUAGUUACUACUACUACUCGUUACAAAAUCGACUCUCUGUUGAUUCAAGAUGAUAAUGUAUGACUGCGAGAGAUUUCAUAUGAAUAAAAACAAAUUUAAAAAAGAAGAAAAAAAAAAAAAUCAUGGAAUAAAAGCAAGACGGCGCGCUUCUAAUUACAGAUUCACAACGUCAGCAAAUGUCUGUAACUACUACUGUCUUAGUGACUGACUGUUAAUUUCUUCGAAUAUGAAAUAAUUCGAAACGUGACGUUGCAUAAAAGAUCGAAGACCGUUUCCUAGACAAGAUUGCCCACUUUACACUUGGAUAGCAGGUCAGUGAAAAAUAAUGGGAUUGUUCUUCGAAAAGAAGAUAAUGAAACUGUCACAGAAGAAAGACGACAACGGGUUCUUGUGUCAACGUCGUAUCGCGAUCUUUUGAUCGCGACCGAUAAAACUCGUUUUGAAAAUUUCUAAAUCGUUUUCGACCAUAACCUGAAUAAGAUGAUUUAAAUAAAAUCAUCAUAAGAAAAUUAUUUAUAUAUAUAUUAAUAGAAGAUCGUAAAAUACGAGAUUUUUGAUCAAUAAAAUUUAUUCGAUAUAAAUCGAUUAUCGAUUAAUAUUGAUAUUUCUAACUUGAAAUUUGUCCAAUGAAGUUGUCUGCUUAAAUGUACGUAUUUCUCGACAAGUUCUAUCAAAGUUUUUUUAAACGAUUACAUGAUUUAUACAUUGUAAUGAAGUGUUAAUUCUACACAAACAUGUUUCCUGGACUAGUCUAUAAGAAAUAAUGAUAUCAUGUAACUUAUGUUACGGUUGUAUGGAUUAACCGUAAAUUGGAAGAUCGAAAUCGUUGAUAAUUAGAUCAUAAAUGUGAUGGCUGAUUUCGUGACGGUGUACGAAAACGAUCAAUCGAUCUCAAGAAGAUGCUUGUCUAUGACAAAUUGCGUUCCAGACGACUCAUCAAGACCUGAUUCAUUCAUUCAUCGCGAUUUCAUCAGUGAUAUUAGCAGCAUGCGAGCAACGUGUUUACCAAUUAUCGUGAAAUUUGCACACUGACAAUCUUUUCUUUUUUUUAUGUACGCGCGCGAUGAGAAUUGUUAAUGAUGAAUCAAUGAUAGCGUUGUAAAUUAAUUUUUAAUUGCGAUUCCGACUCAAUCUGUUCUAUCAUUGUGACAGUGUUGCUAAUAUCGCGAAUGAAAUUCGACAGAUAAUACAUUGUUUGUUUGAUUUUAAUAGUUAUCUGUUAAAUUGUACAUGAUAAAAAAAGAAGUCUACGACUGGUUUAAAAGCAUAAUGAAAUCAUAGUAAUAAUCAUAUAUGCAUAUCGUAAUUCAAAAAAAUCAUUAUAUAUAUAAUCAAACAAAUUUCAAUAAACAUCAUUGUAUUUUCACUUUUUGAAUGUUGAUGUCGAAGAAUCAAUGUGUUGAUGAUAAAGAAAACGUUUCGUGUCUCUCUCUCUCGAGCCAUUUUAAACAUCUUUAUGAGUUUCGGCUGUUAACACGAUCAUGGAAACAGGAUCCUUCAUCACGUGGCGGAGGACGUAACUAGGGAUUCGCGUGACACAUUAGUCUAAAAUUCGCGCGUGAGACAACGAAGGCCCCGAAUCGGUUCGCCACUUAUCAUAAUGCUUGCUUAAUGCUCGUUGCUGGAACGUGGUGUCUCGCGUGUAACCACCUUGUAGAGGAACGCCCGUGGGACCAACGAGACUUCCCUCUCGUGAUAUGUUGACGAGGAUAUGUGUGCGAGUGCAUCGAGAAUAUUCCCACAAAUUGGCAGCGGCCUGUUCGAAUCGGGAGGGGACAAAAUGGAGAGAGGGAAAGAGAUGAAAAAAAAAGGAAAGAGAGAAAAUAUAGAAAAUAACGACGAUAAUACGAGGAGAGGCAGGAUACGUUUGUUAGCUUUGCUGUUCGUCCGGAAAACGCUGUAGGAUUCCGAGGUUCGGCCAAGGGGGUGACAGAGCGACCAUUGUUAUUUCCGCUUACGCGAUGCUCUUUGAUCAGGCGGAAGACAUUAAGCGCAUCCAUAGUUUAAGAGUUUUAUCAGGUGUUAGCGUAAUAAUCGUAUUCUAUGAGUUUCUUUGUUAAAGGAAUUGGUAAAGGAGAUCGUUUAAAAUAAGCGGGUUGAAUAAAACGAUGAAUUAUAAGAAAGUA